rnacentral:rRNA from 1 species
UACAGAGGGUGCGAGCGUUGUUCGGAAUUAUUGGGCGUAAAGGGCGCGUAGGCGGUGCGGUAAGUCACCUGUGAAAUCUCCUGGCUCAACUGGGAGCUUGCAGGCGAAACUGCCGGGCUGGAGUGUGGGAGAGGUGCGUGGAAUUCCUGGUGUAGCGGUGAAAUGCGUAGAGAUCAGGAGGAACACCCGUGGCGAAGGCGGCACUCUGGGUCGGCACUGACGCUGAGGCGCGAAAGCGUGGGGAGCGAACAGG